CGAACAUGCGGCUGUCCGCGAGCCGCGCGCUGCUGGCGCUCGCGCUUCUGGCGGCCUUCGACUCGCCAGAAAGCUUGCAGACGGCGGUCCGACCGGACAAAGGCUCGACGGUGACGGUGUCCACCGCGCUGCCGCCGGAUCAAUGCGCUGUUUGUGCGCUCGGCGGGGUGAACGACACGCUGAAAUCCUGCCGGUCCUCUUUGUCUCUGGUACCUGAGGAGGAAGUCAAAUUGCUGUUCAACUGCUCCCAACCGAUCGAACAGGCUUUCACUGUGACGAUCGCUCAGACUGUUGAGUGCACAAAGGACAUCUGCAGCCCGACAACGGUAGAAACGCAACCCUCCCUCCUCUCCGAGUUCAGCAGAACCUACACAUGGGAGCUGAAGGCACCGGAGAAGACCCUCGUGGGUUUGAACAUCCUUGGAGAUGGGCUGAGGGAGACGUCACAACCGUGCCCUGAUGGAUUUCAGUAUUCGGUCACCACGCCCAAGACAAACCCCAAGGGUCUGACUCAGUAUUGUCGAGGUGGUUCUGCGACUCGUUUAGAUGAGCCCAAUGGAGCUGUUGUGUCUCUGCAAGUUAAACCAAGGGCUCUGGUUGAGUCGGUGUUGUUCUACGCCUCGGCUGGACCUCUGAAGGGCCGAACAGUGGUUUUAUCAGUGAAUUCAAGCACGACUGUGGUCAUCCGCCGGGAUCCUGAGGCGCCAGAGUGUGACGUUUGCUCGCUUGAUGGCUCAACUCCUCAAUGUGCUACCAACGAAAAGACACUGACGAACGUUAACAACCUCUCGCUGGAGUUCAGCUGCCUGAAACCUCAGGAUGUGUACAGCGUGGAGAUUAAGAAGAAAAUCGAAUGCACCCAGAGCACCUGCACUCCUGCUGCAGGAGAAAUUGAGCCAGAUGUCUUCAAGGACUUCAGAAGAUCCAUAACGUGGGACAUUGGUGUACCACAGAGGACCGUAUUAACACUGGACUUCCCUGGUGGCUUAAAGGAGAUGUCUGAAGCAGAAACGUGCCCAGACGGUCACCAGUACUCCGUGAGCACAAUUAAAAGUCAGGGAGAGAUAACCACGAGCUACUGUAAGGGUGGGACGGCGUCUCCUCUGGGUCUGCUCGCAGCAACGAGUGUGACCACACAGGUUCUCAAGGGAAGUGAAGUGGACUCGUUCACUGUCAAAGUAGCACCAAGAGGCAAGUGUCCGUCCUUCAUUUGGUUUACGUGA
ensembl:lncRNA